rnacentral:rRNA from 1 species
GAGCGCAAGCGACGUUCAACCUCAAAAGAAGCAGAGGGGGCUUAGUGGUGGGGUGACUGCGUACCUUUUGUAUAAUGGGUCAGCGACUUAUAUUCUGUAGCAAGGUUAACCGUAUAGGGGAGCCGGAGGGAAACCGAGUCUUAACCGGGCGUUAAGUUGCAGGGUAUAGACCCGAAACCCGGUGAUCUAGCCAUGGGCAGGUUGAAGGUUGGGUAACACUAACUGGAGGACCGAACCGACUAAUGUUGAAAAAUUAGCGGAUGACCUGUGGCUGGGGGUGAAAGGCCAAUCAAACCGGGAGAUAGCUGGUUCUCCCCGAAAGCUAUUUAGGUAGCGCCUCGUGAAUUCAUCUCCGGGGGUAGAGCACUGUUUCGGCUAGGGGGCCAUCCCGGCUUACCAACCCGAUGCAAACUGCGAAUACCGGAGAAUGUUAUCACGGGAGACACACGGCGGGUGCUAACGUCCGUCGUGAAGAGGGAAACAACCCAGACCGCCAGCUAAGGUCCCAAAGUCAUGGUUAAGUGGGAAACGAUGUGGGAAGGCCCAGACAGCCAGGAUGUUGGCUUAGAAGCAGCCAUCAUUUAAAGAAAGCGUAAUAGCUCACUGGUCGAGUCGGCCUGCGCGGAAGAUGUAACGGGGCUAAACCAUGCACCGAAGCUGCGGCAGCGACACUCAGGUGUUGUUGGGUAGGGGAGCGUUCUGUAAGCCUGCGAAGGUGGCCUGUGAGGGUUGCUGGAGGUAUCAGAAGUGCGAAUGCUGACAUAAGUAACGAUAAAGCGGGUGAAAAGCCCGCUCGCCGGAAGACCAAGGGUUCCUGUCCAACGUUAAUCGGGGCAGGGUGAGUCGACCCCUAAGGCGAGGCCGAAAGGCGUAGUCGAUGGGAAACGGGUUAAUAUUCCCGUACUUGGUGUUACUGCGAAGGGGGGACGGAGAAGGCUAUGUUGGCCGGGCGACGGUUGUCCCGGUUUAAGCGUGUAGGUGUGUGUUCCAGGUAAAUCCGGUUCACUUUAACACUGAGGCGUGACGACGAGGCACUACGGUGCUGAAGCAACAAAUGCCCUGCUUCCAGGAAAAGCCUCUAAGCAUCAGGUAACAUCAAAUCGUACCCCAAACCGACACAGGUGGUCAGGUAGAGAAUACCAAGGCGCUUGAGAGAACUCGGGUGAAGGAACUAGGCAAAAUGGUGCCGUAACUUCGGGAGAAGGCACGCUGACAUGUAGGUGAAGUGAUUUACUCAUGGAGCUGAAGUCAGUCGAAGAUACCAGCUGGCUGCAACUGUUUAUUAAAAACACAGCACUGUGCAAACACGAAAGUGGACGUAUACGGUGUGACGCCUGCCCGGUGCCGGAAGGUUAAUUGAUGGGGUCAGCGCAAGCGAAGCUCCUGAUCGAAGCCCCGGUAAACGGCGGCCGUAACUAUAACGGUCCUAAGGUAGCGAAAUUCCUUGUCGGGUAAGUUCCGACCUGCACGAAUGGCGUAAUGAUGGCCAGGCUGUCUCCACCCGAGACUCAGUGAAAUUGAACUCGCUGUGAAGAUGCAGUGUACCCGCGGCAAGACGGAAAGACCCCGUGAACCUUUACUAUAGCUUGACACUGAACAUUGAGCCUUGAUGUGUAGGAUAGGUGGGAGGCUUUGAAGUGUGGACGCCAGUCUGCAUGGAGCCGACCUUGAAAUACCACCCUUUAAUGUUUGAUGUUCUAACGUGGACCCGUGAUCCGGGUUGCGGACAGUGUCUGGUGGGUAGUUUGACUGGGGCGGUCUCCUCCUAAAGAGUAACGGAGGAGCACGAAGGUUGGCUAAUCCUGGUCGGACAUCAGGAGGUUAGUGCAAUGGCAUAAGCCAGCUUGACUGCGAGCGUGACGGCGCGAGCAGGUGCGAAAGCAGGUCAUAGUGAUCCGGUGGUUCUGAAUGGAAGGGCCAUCGCUCAACGGAUAAAAGGUACUCCGGGGAUAACAGGCUGAUACCGCCCAAGAGUUCAUAUCGACGGCGGUGUUUGGCACCUCGAUGUCGGCUCAUCACAUCCUGGGGCUGAAGUAGGUCCCAAGGGUAUGGCUGUUCGCCAUUUAAAGUGGUACGCGAGCUGGGUUUAGAACGUCGUGAGACAGUUCGGUCCCUAUCUGCCGUGGGCGCUGGAGAACUGAGGGGGGCUGCUCCUAGUACGAGAGGACCGGAGUGGACGCAUCACUGGUGUUCGGGUUGUCAUGCCAAUGGCACUGCCCGGUAGCUAAAUGCGGAAGAGAUAAGUGCUGAAAGCAUCUAAGCACGAAACUUGCCCCGAGA